AGUGAACGCUGGCGGUAGGCCUAACACAUGCAAGUCGAACGGCAGCACAGUAAGAGCUUGCUCUUACGGGUGGCGAGUGGCGGACGGGUGAGGAAUACAUCGGAAUCUACUUUUUCGUGGGGGAUAACGUAGGGAAACUUACGCUAAUACCGCAUACGACCUACGGGUGAAAGCAGGGGAUCUUCGGACCUUGCGCGAUUGAAUGAGCCGAUGUCGGAUUAGCUAGUUGGCGGGGUAAAGGCCCACCAAGGCGACGAUCCGUAGCUGGUCUGAGAGGAUGAUCAGCCACACUGGAACUGAGACACGGUCCAGACUCCUACGGGAGGCAGCAGUGGGGAAUAUUCGACAAUGGGCGCAAGCCUGAUCCAGCCAUACCGCGUGAGUGAAGAAGGCCUUCGGGUUGUAAAGCCCUUUUGUUGGGAAAGAAAAGCAGCAGGUUAAUACCCCGCUGUUCUGACGGUACCCAAAGAAUAAGCACCGGCUAACUUCGUG
rnacentral:rRNA from 1 species